CCCCACCGGGGCUGCAGAUGGCGUCUGAGUGCACAGUGGCGCGUGUGAUUCCGCAGUCUUGGGCUGUUCGGCCAAGUGCCCACCAGACGUGGGGCACUGGAGGGUCAGCAGCGUGGAGUCUGGCUUUCAGCGUCCACGGCUGGGAAAUCGGCCAUCGCCACGGCGGGAACUAGGACUGGCUGCGUCCCGGCCCUUCCCCAUCCGUCCACCGGACUCGUGGGCGCCCGCACUGGCGCUGAUGUAGUUUCCUGACCUCUGACCCGUAUUGUCUCAAGAUUAAAGGAAUCAGGAGCUUCUUUUGCUGUUCUGUUUUGGAUGCAUUGGAAGGUCCAGAUUUUGAACAAAUCUCUCUAGGGAUUGAACAGAGCUGCGCCUGGAUCCUGCCACAGUGAGGAGACCUGAAGACCAGAGGAAGCACAGCAAAUGGAGUCUCGCUUUGUUGCCCAGGCUGGAGUGUAGUGUGGCGAUCUCUGCUCACUGCAAGAAUCUGCCUCCCGGGUUCACACCAUUCUCCCACCUCAGCCCCCAGAGUAGUUGGGACUACAGGCUCAUGCUACCACACCCGGCAUUCG
rnacentral:sRNA from 1 species